rnacentral:rRNA from 1 species
UACGUAGGGGGCAAGCGUUGUCCGGAAUCAUUGGGCGUAAAGCGCGUGUAGGCGGUUCGGUAAGUCGGCUGUGAAAGUCCAGGGCUCAACCCUGGGAUGCCGGUCGAUACUGUCGGGCUCGAGUCCGGAAGAGGCGAGUGGAAUCCUGGUGGUAGCGGUGAAAUGCGCAGAUAUCAGGAGGAACACCAAUGGCGAAGGCAGCUCGCUGGGACGUGACUGACGCUGAGACGCGAAAGCGUGGGGAGCAAACAGGAUUAGAACCGUACGUAGUCAGA